rnacentral:piRNA from 1 species
UCCCUAGGUGAGGAGAAGCGGCUUGAAGC